GUCUGGAAAGGCGCGCGAUACAGGGUGACAGCCCCGUACACAAAAAUGCACAUACUGUGAGCUCGAUGAGUAGGGCGGGACACGUGGUAUCCUGUCUGAAUAUGGGGGGACCAUCCUCCAAGGCUAAAUACUCCUGACUGACCGAUAGUGAACCAGUACCGUGAGGGAAAGGCGAAAAGAACCCCGGCGAGGGGAGUGAAAAAGAACCUGAAACCGUGUACGUACAAGCAGUGGGAGCCUCUUUAUGGGGUGACUGCGUACCUUUUGUAUAAUGGGUCAGCGACUUAUAUUCUGUAGCAAGGUUAACCGAAUAGGGGAGCCGAAGGGAAACCGAGUCUUAACUGGGCGUUAAGUUGCAGGGUAUAGACCCGAAACCCGGUGAUCUAGCCAUGGGCAGGUUGAAGGUUGGGUAACACUAACUGGAGGACCGAACCGACUAAUGUUGAAAAAUUAGCGGAUGACUUGUGGCUGGGGGUGAAAGGCCAAUCAAACCGGGAGAUAGCUGGUUCUCCCCGAAAGCUAUUUAGGUAGCGCCUCGUGAAUUCAUCUCCGGGGGUAGAGCACUGUUUCGGCAAGGGGGUCAUCCCGACUUACCAACCCGAUGCAAACUGCGAAUACCGGAGAAUGUUAUCACGGGAGACACACGGCGGGUGCUAACGUCCGUCGUGAAGAGGGAAACAACCCAGACCGCCAGCUAAGGUCCCAAAGUCAUGGUUAAGUGGGAAACGAUGUGGGAAGGCCCAGACAGCCAGGAUGUUGGCUUAGAAGCAGCCAUCAUUUAAAGAAAGCGUAAUAGCUCACUGGUCGAGUCGGCCUGCGCGGAAGAUGUAACGGGGCUAAACCAUGCACCGAAGCUGCGGCAGCGACGCUUAUGCGUUGUUGGGUAGGGGAGCGUUCUGUAAGCCUGUGAAGGUGUACUGUGAGGUAUGCUGGAGGUAUCAGAAGUGCGAAUGCUGACAUAAGUAACGAUAAAGCGGGUGAAAAGCCCGCUCGCCGGAAGACCAAGGGUUCCUGUCCAACGUUAAUCGGGGCAGGG
rnacentral:rRNA from 1 species